AAUACAGCAGUAAUGAAGAUUAACUGUAAGUAAUUGCCGUGAAACUGACUGACUGAGGCUAAAGGAAGACAGAUGAUUCAUAUUUAACUUAUUUAUCUGGUACCGACUUCCUGUUCUAACUAAUCAUGCAGAGGCAUAUGGUUAUGAAUAUUCAGAAGUUUUUUUAAUGGCUUAAUAAUCUUUCUUCCUUUGUUUCUAGGAACAGACAUCGCAACACACACUGAAAUAGAGGCUCGCACGUGUCGGAAGCAGAUAAAGUAAUAUAUCAUGUGCUGAUCUCCCAUCGCACCACAAAGGUGGGCCAGCCAUCAAAGGAAAAGCACCACUCCCAUCUGCAUUUUAAUGCAGAAAGAACACAGAGCUGGCUUAGCCUGGACUCUUUGGAUUAAAGAAAAAUUUCGACUUCACUGCGAGCCACCACACGCAAGAGCAUGUCACAGAACUAUUCAGAAAUAGAUAGUCAGUUAGCUCCGAGUGUCCCAGCACGGCGCGUCUGCUCGCUGCUUUCCCCUGAGGAGAAGGAAGUUCACCUGGAGUGAAGAGCAAGAUGCUGGUUUUGCUUCACGUCUGACAAGAUUCACCUAUGCCGCAGUCAAGAACAGCUUUCAUGAAACCAGAGUGGAAAGAUACUUCUUUCAGAAUCCUCUAUCAGGGGUUGAGAAAAAAACCAUUGAAUUGCUAUUCUAAUGGUCAAAAAAGGAAAAGCAAGGAAGAUCUUGAAGAAAGAACUAUCAGAAAGAUCACAUCCGUAUUCCUGAAAUAAUUACACAAUCUGAUUAAAUGCCAAGCUGAAUUGGACUUGCAAUAUUUUAGAAAAAAGAAGAUUGUUGUGGAGGCCAGCUUAAGGUCUAAAUAUUCACUGCAUCAGAAAAUAGGCAUCUUAAUCUCAGACAUGAUUUUAGGUAUGUCCUUUUGUAACAAAGAGACCUAAGGUCAAGUUCAAACAGGA